CACCUCAGAGCCAUUUCACUGCUCAGAUGAAUGGAAGAAUCCUGUUCUGAAUCGAUCCAGUUUUGACCUGGGUAGAGAAGAGGCCCAGUUGAAACCAUUAAAGAUUUAUUCCUGACAGAACCAAUUAGGCCUGGCUGAGCAGCAAAGACCUUAAUUAGUCACAUGACUCAAAUUCCUUACUCACGCAAUUGGCACCAGGAAAUUAAUUACAGCAGCAGCAGCCCAGGCAGGGUGGAUGGAUUGUGAUUGUCAUGAGGGGAUGCACUGAGAGCUCAGAUUCUUUUCAAUCUCAGAAGAUUUCUAAGCAAGUCCAAGUAUUCAGUGAAAUCAGCAUCAAGAAUUCUAAGAAAAUAGACCUGAUGCUUCCAGUUGUUCAGGAGAAGAAACACUUGCUAAUGAAUGUGACAUGUUUUUGAACCCAUUUUCCAAGUCUCAAUCUUUGCUCUCUACAUAUCUAUCUGCAAUAAGUCAGUUUAGGGACUGAAGCCAAAGCCACAGAAGUGGAUUCCGUGCCAAGGUUCCUUUUAUUCCUGGUGAUCUACUCAGUUCCCUACUAUCCCAAAGGGAAACAAAAGACUCCCAGUUUUCUGAAAACCAGAUUCUCUGCACAACAGUGCAUUGCAUUGCCACAGGAUGGGCCACAGUGGAUGUUCUCCUAGCAAACAAAUCAGACUUUUCUCAAACUGAAGGUAUUUGGAAGUUGGUAGCCUGCAUGUUUCACACACAGCCAGUCAUCACUGUGACACUCUACACAGGAUUUUGGAAUGAAAUUCAAACAGAG